rnacentral:rRNA from 1 species
UAGUACACUUAAAUUUAAUUUAUAAAUAUUAGAAUAUUAAGAGUUAUAUUCUUUAAAUUUAAAAAAUUUGGCGGUGUUUUAGUCUAGUUAGAGGAACCUGUAUUAUAAACGACAUAACACGCAUUAUUUUACUUAUUUUGGUAAACAGUUUGUAUACCGUCAUUAUUAGAUAAUUUAUGAGAAAAUAUUAUUGGGAUCAUAUUAUUGAGUAUAUUAGAUCAAGGUGCAGCUUAUAAAUAAGUAGAUAUGGGUUACAAUAAAAUUUAUUUAAUAUGGAUUUAAUAUUUAAAUAUGUUUAUGAAGGAGGAUUUAAUUGUAAGGAAAGGAGUAGUAAGAUUUUCUGAUAAAAGCUCUAAAUUAU